UGGCAGCUGAGGAUACAGAAGCCGGACAGGGGAAAUGGCCCCCGGCUCUGGGGCCUUCGAGAUUCUUCUCCCUGACAGUGGCCAGGUCCUGCACUCCAAGAUCAACGGUGAUGGCUACGUGGACAGUAACGCCAAGGUGCAGCGCAUCUGUGAAGGCAUCAGCAAGGUCCUGAAACAGUAGCAAGCAGGGAUUGGGGUGCUGUGGUUUCCAGGGCAGCACAUGACGGGAUCAGCUGAAAGGGAGUCACAGCCCAGGCCAGUCCCUGACCUCCCCC